rnacentral:rRNA from 1 species
GAUGAACGCUGGCGGCGUGCCUAAUACAUGCAAGUCGAGCGAACGGACGAGAAGCUUGCUUCUCUGAUGUUAGCGGCGGACGGGUGAGUAACACGUGGAUAACCUACCUAUAAGACUGGGAUAACUUCGGGAAACCGGAGCUAAUACCGGAUAAUAUUUUGAACCGCAUGGUUCAAAAGUGAAAGACGGUCUUGCUGUCACUUAUAGAUGGAUCCGCGCUGCAUUGGCUAGUUGGUAAGGUAACGGCUUACCAAGGCAACGAUGCAUAGCCGACCUGAGAGGGUGAUCGGCCACACUGGAACUGAGACACGGUCCAGACUCUGACGGGAGGCAGCAGUAGGGAAUCUUCCGCAAUGGGCGAAAGCCUGACGGAGCAACGCCGCGGGAGUGAUGAAGGUCUUCGGAUCGUAAAACUCUGUUAUUAGGGAAGAACAUAUGUGUAAGUAACUGUGCACAUCUUGACGGUACCUAAUCAGAAAGCCACGGCUAACUACGUG